rnacentral:rRNA from 1 species
GACAGAGGGUGCAAGCGUUAAUCGGAAUCAUUGGGCGUAAAGGGCGUGUAGGUGGUUUAUCACGUUUGAUGUAAAAUCCCUGGGCUUAACCGAGGAAGGACGUCAAAAACGGGUAGACUCGAGUGAGAGAGGGGGUAGCGGAAUUUCCGGUGGAGCGGUGAAAUGCGCAGAUAUCGGGAAGAACACCCGUGGCGAAGGCGGCUCUCUGGGACGGUACUGACGCUGAGACGCGAAAGCGUGGGGAGCGAACAGG